UUUGUCUGGUUUGUAAGACUUAUUUUGGCUUUCUUGGUUCUCAUUGUAGGAUCCAAGUAACUAACUCUACAUCAAUUCUUUGGAAGUUGAUGCUAAGGCAUGUGUAGACUUCGUGGCAAAAGUAGUUGGAGUAACUUCGGGACCAAAAGGAAGAAUUUUGGUGUUGCACAUUAAAUUACAUCCCAAGAUUGUUAAAGAUACUGAAAGUGUUUUAAACAGAACAGAUUGAUUGGAGGAUGCUUUGGAGUAUGUGGGAGUUAAAUUAGCGAGGCAGGACGGUGCAAAUGUUGCUGAAUUUGUUCUCAUCUUAGCUCCAAUUUAUUUUUGUCCGAUCUCUAAUUUGACCUAUUUUUUAUUGUUGUCUACAUUGCUCUCUUUAAUUAAAGUUAUCAAAGUUAAAGGUGACUUUGCUACCGCUAUCAAUUGCUUUUGAAAUUGCCAUUAUUGUGUCAAAGCAAUUUAAAAUGUUCCAUUUUCACUUUUCAUUGUUUUUUUUUCCAGGAUGAAACAUAUUCAGCUCUCAUAUGGGAUUUUAUAAAACUACCAAAAUGCUUGUUUCAGAACUCAAAUUGGCAUCAGGGAGGAAAUGAUUAUGCAGUAGGAAACAGGACUUCUGACUCUUUUCAAAAGUAGGAAGAGAAUUAAGAAGAAGUGAGACAUGGAGCUAUGGUAAAAAUAGCCUGCACAUUGUAGAGGGGAUGGAAUUUGAUCGCGGAUAUUUUUCUCCUAAACAUGAUUGGAGUUUUGGAUCUCAUAUUUCUAUCUGUUGGUGUAUGGUAUUUAAGAGGGGAAACUUCUGUAUUCGCAAUUGCUUUUGGUUGCCUAAAACAUCGCAUGGUUCAAGGAUAUUUUGAAACGAUACUAGGAAGUCUCCAAUCAUGAUAGUUGCAUACAACAUUGAAGAGGAAGAUCAGGCUCCGUCGUUAAUAGGUAGUUGCUAUUAGAGGCCUUGCCUUCACUGAGUGCUACUAUCUCUUGAUAGGAAAUAAUGAGACAAGAAUGCUUGAAUAUGGAAUUUAUCACAUUCUUUC